GACGUAGGGCGCGAGCGUUGUCCGGAAUUACUGGGCGUAAAGCGCGUGUAGGCGGGCGUGCAAGUCUGCUGUGAAAGCUCCUGGCUUAACCGGGAGUGGUCGGUGGAAACUGCACACCUGGAGGACGGUAGAGGUAGGUAGAAUUCCCGGUGUAGUGGUGAAAUGCGUAGAGAUCGGGAAGAACACCGGUGGCGAAGGCGGCCUGCUGGGCAGUUGCUGACGCUGAGGCGCGACAGCGUGGGGAGCAAACAGG
rnacentral:rRNA from 1 species